AUUGAACGCUAGCGGGAUGCUUUACACAUGCAAGUCGAACGAGUGGCGGACGGGUGAGUAAUAUAUCGGAACGUGCCCAGUAGCGGGGGAUAACUACUCGAAAGAGUGGCUAAUACCGCAUACAUUUGGACCGGCCGCUAUCGGUUUUGCUAGUUGGUGGGGUAAAGGCUCACCAAGCCAACGAUCCGUAGCUGGUUUGAGAGGAGGACCAGCCACACUGGGACGGAGACACGGCCCAGAGUCCUACGGGAGGCAGCAGUGGGGAAUUUUGGACAAUGGGGGAAACCCUGAUCCUGCCAUCCCGCGUGUAUGAGAAGGCCUUCGGGUUGUAAAGUACUUUUGGCAGAGAAGCGGUAUCUGCAGAAUAAGCACCGGCUAACUACGUGCCAGCAGCCGCGGUAAUUC
rnacentral:rRNA from 1 species